UCUGGAGAGAGAGGGAGAAAGAGAAAGAGACAGGGUUUCUUGUGGCUUCCUCCUUUAUGCGUUUAGGUUCCUCAUCUAGCCAGUGAUCAUAAGGGAAUAGAGGAGAAGCACCUUGCUACGUGAAUCAAAAUGUUUUUCGCUACCUUUGCUUUAUUAUUUAUCCCAAACAAGAGACGCCAUUAAAGCAAGCUCUGUUGAAGAGUCUCUCUCCAGUUGCAGAAGAGGUGAAACUACUUUUGUAAUUUUGAGCUCUUUAUUUUAAAUUCUCUCCUCUGUUUCAUCCUGCAUUUUCAUCUCUACUUGUUUUUGUUAGUCUGGUGCUUUUGUUGUUUUUCGUUUCAAUGGUUUAACAUAUAGCUUCCUAGAACUUAAUCCUGGAAGAAUGUUUAUGGAGUCCGUUGAGAUAUUAAUCUCUCAUUGAGGUUUUGCAGGAAGAGGGUUUAACAGGAAAAGGGUUUAGUUGGAAGAGUGUUUAUUGAGGUUUUGCAGGAAGAGUGUUUAGGAGCUUGAGUUUCACCUUCUGACAAGGUUUUGCUGGUUUCUAUUGAUGGUGGUGGUAAUUGUAUCUUGGUUUUAGCAGCUUCCAUAGAACUUAGUUCAGGAAGAAGGUUGAUAAAGGCCAUUGAGAGAUUAAUCUCUCAUUGAGGUUUUGCAAGAAGAGGGUUUAGCAGGGGAGCUUUCAUAGAACUUAAUCCAGGAAGAUUGUUUAUCGAGUGCAUUGAAAAGAUUAAUCUCUCAUUGAGGUAAAACCAAAAAGUGGCGAUUAUGUUUUUAACACUUCAUGUGUUUUGGGAGGUAAGAGCUUUAACUACAAUAGAGUUUUGUAAAACUAGUAUUUGUUGAGGGUUUGAACAUGCUUCUACUUGAACCAAUUGAAUAGUUUCCCUGCCAUUUCGUAGUUGAAAGAAAUAUAAUUUUCAAUAUUAUUAAUUUGUGUCCUUGUGUUUUCUAGUGAGAAAUUAGGCUAUAAGAAAUGGUGAGAUCUCUUUGUCCAUUCUAUUUGUUUACUUAUUAAAGAAAUUAGAUCUAGGAAAAAAGUUAUCAUCGUUUGAGUUUGUUUCUUAUACUUUAAAUCUUUUUUUUUUAAUUUCUUUAGGACUGGAACGACAGCAGUAAAUCAAGUGACAGUGUCCAAUGGAUUGGUGAAGAUGAAGAUGAAGUCAACUCUAACAUUGUUCCUUUCCCUUCAUCUUCAAAUUUUAAUACUCAUGAGGAAGCAUGUCUAGGCACUGAUUGAGUGAGGAAAGAAUCAAAAUGUCUAGGCACUGAUUGAGUGAGGAAAGAAUCAAACUAUGUGAUGGGGUUGGUGUCAUCUAUGGAGGCAAUUGUAUCAUGGACCAAUGUAUUAUUCUUUUUGGAAAUAACAUCGAGAAAUUUGUUCCAGGAACAGUAAGGAUGGGCAUCAAACCCUGGUUCUUGUGUAUAUGAUUUUUUUUUUUUUUUGUUGCCUUUUUGUUAGAAAUAGAAAAGAGAG